rnacentral:rRNA from 1 species
AUUGAACGCUGGCGGCAGGCUUAACACAUGCAAGUCGAGCGGGGUGAUGGUGCUUGCACUAUCACUUAGCGGCGGACGGGUGAGUAAUGCUUAGGAAUCUGCCUAUUAGUGGGGGACAACAUCUCGACAGGGAUGCUAAUACCGCAUACGUCCUACGGGAGAAAGCAGGGGAUCACUUGUGACCUUGCGCUAAUAGAUGAGCCUAAGUCGGAUUAGCUAGUUGGUGGGGUAAAGGCCUACCAAGGCGACGAUCUGUAGCGGGUCUGAGAGGAUGAUCCGCCACACUGGGACUGAGACACGGCCCAGACUCCUACGGGAGGCAGCAGUGGGGAAUAUUGGACAAUGGGGGGAACCCUGAUCCAGCCAUGCCGCGUGUGUGAAGAAGGCCUUAUGGUUGUAAAGCACUUUAAGCGAGGAGGAGGCUCUUUUGGUUAAUACCCAAGAUGAGUGGACGUUACCCGCAGAAUAAGCACCGGCUAACUCUGUGCCAGCCGCCGCAGUAA